rnacentral:snRNA from 1 species
GGUGCCACUGGGGACCAAAGCAUAAAAAAUGUUCAUUUAAAAUUAGUAGAUUAGCAUGGCCCCUGCACAAAGGUGACAUGCAAAUUCAUGAAGCAUUCCAUAUUUUG